UACAGAGGUCCCGAGCGUUGUUCGGAUUCACUGGGCGUAAAGGGCACGUAGGCGGCUCGGCAAAUCGGUCGUGGAAUCCCGACGCUUACCGUCGGAACGGCGGCCGAAAAUACCGGGCUAGAGGGCGUGAGGGGUCACUGGAACUCCUGGUGAAGCGGUGAAAUGCGUAGAUAUCAGGAGGAACGCCGGAGGCGAAAGCGAGUGACUGGCGCGUUCCUGACGCUGAGGUGCGAAAGCUAGGGGAGCAAACAGG
rnacentral:rRNA from 1 species